AAUCAACGCUGGCGGCGUGCCUCAGACAUGCAAGUCGAACGCGAAAGUUUCCUUCGGGGAACAAGUAGAGUGGCGCACGGGUGAGUAACACGUAGGUAAUCUACCUUUGGAUGGGGAAUAACAACCGGAAACGGUUGCUAAUACCGCAUAAUGCAGCGGCACCUAAUGGUGACAGUUGUUAAAGCGGGGGAUCGAAGACCUCGCGUCUGAAGAGGAGCCUGCGGCGGAUUAGCAGUUGGUAAGGUAAUGGCUUACCAAGGCGACGAUCCGUAACCGGCCUGAGAGGGCGGUCGGUCACACUGACACUGACAUACGGGUCAGAC
rnacentral:rRNA from 1 species